rnacentral:rRNA from 2 species
CGCUGGCGGCAGGCCUAACACAUGCAAGUCGAACGGUAGCACAGAGAGCUUGCUCUCGGGUGACGAGUGGCGGACGGGUGAGUAAUGUCUGGGAAACUGCCUGAUGGAGGGGGAUAACUACUGGAAACGGUAGCUAAUACAAAAAAACGACGCAAGACCAAAGAGGGGGAGCUUCGGGCCUCUUGCCAUCAGAUGUGGCAGAUGGGAUUAGCUAGUAGGUGGGGUAACGGCUCUCCUAAGCGCCGAUCCCUAGCUGGUCUGAGAGGAUGACCAGCCACACUGGAACUGAUACACGAUCCAGACUCCUACGGGAGGCAGCAGUGGGGAAUAUUGCACAAUCCGUGCAAGCCUGAUGCAGCCAUGCGGCGUGUAUGCAGAAGGCCUUCGGGUUGUAAAGUAC